rnacentral:misc_RNA from 1 species
CAGAGUUCUCGCCCCUCCGGGUAGAUCUCCCACCCUGUGUUAUUAUACCUUUGUUGCUUUGGCGGGCCGCCCUCGGCUACCGGCCCCGGCUGGUACGCGCCCGCCAGAGGACCCCAAACUCUGAAUGUUAGUGUCGUCUGAGUACUAUACAAUAGUUA